AUUGAACGCUGGCGGCAGGCCUAACACAUGCAAGUCGAGCGGAUGAAGGGGGCUUGCUCCUGGAUUCAGCGGCGGACGGUUGAGUAAUGCCUAGGAAUCUGCCUGGUAGUGGGGGAUAACGUCCGGAAACGGGCGCUAAUACCGCAUACGUCCUGAGGGCGACAGUGGGUGAUCUUCGGACCUCACGCCAUCAGAUGAGCCUAGGUCGGAGUAGCUAGUUGGUGGGGUAAAGGACUACCAAGGCGACGAACCGUAACUGGUCUGAGAGGAUGAUCAGUCACACUGGAACUGAGACACGGUGCAGACUCGUACGGGAGGCAGCAGUGGGAAAUAUUGGACAAGGGGCGAAAGCCUGAUCCAGCCAUGCGGCGUGUGUGAAGAAGGUCUUCGGAGUGUAAAGCACUUUAGGUUGGGAGGAAGGGCAGUAAGUUAACACCGUGCUGUUUGGACGUUACCAACAGAAUAAGCACCGGCUAACUUCGU
rnacentral:rRNA from 1 species